rnacentral:misc_RNA from 1 species
UGCCGACGUCCUCAGCGAACGCUGCCUAUGAAACCAAGGCCGUCCGGAUCCUCCCGAUUGGUGGUGGUGCCAUCCCAGUGGCCAAUCAGCUCAAAGUUCAAUUCCAGCUCAACCAGGAUCCCUCUACCUCUGGGCUGCUCCGAGCCCCCGGCAACGGGGCCGUUUCCCCGACCCUCGCACAAGCCGCGCAGCGCGACGCCUUUCAAGCGAUCCCACCGGACGAGGCAUCGACGAACCUGCUCCGCCGUGGGCCAAGCGGACAAGUCCCCGGCGCUCUUCGCGAGGGGCGGGUCGGCAUGGACGUCAUGAUCCAGCGGGCGUCGAUGAUGCAAGAUUCGACACCGGCCCGCUUCCCGAUUCUGCCCGCGUUCCAGGACGGGCAGCCCGCCCCGCCCACACCGACAUUGCCGAUCCCGGCGCCGGCCCCAAUUCCACCGCCGCCCGCCAUGGCGAUCCCCGCGCCAGCGACCCAGUCGUUCAUUGUCGUGCCGCAAACGACCUCGCCGGUCAACGUCACCGUGCCAAUCGCGAAUGAGUUACCCAAGAAACAUGGCCUCUUCAACCGCCGCGACCAGAUCACACCGGCCCGUCGACCGCUGGUCCAGCGAAUCCUUAACGGUCCUUGAUAGGGCGAAACCAACCCGAGUCAGGCGCGCCCCGCGAGUGUGGAGCACGACCGGCGGGGGUGCAGCGAGCAUGCGCAGGAGUCGUUUCGGUGAACAAGAUAAGCAGGCGGCAGGGGGUUGGCAAGGCGACGCUGGGGCAAUCGUGACGUGACGCCGGAGUGCGCGGCCGUCGGAGUCUGAGACCAGGUCCCGGGGGAGGUCGGGGUCGUCGGGGGUGAAGAGCUGGAAGACCGACGAAUCGAUGGUGAGGAAGUUGCCCUUGGGAGUCGUUCGGUUGAAGAUCUCGGCGAAGAAGCGGGGGCUGGGUGUGUUUCGCGAGUCACAGUAAGGCAUGCGGAAGGCGACCGGCCGGUUGCCAGGGAUGCUCGCCAGCAAGUCGAUGCCCCCGAAGACGUUCCGCUCGGCCUCCG